rnacentral:lncRNA from 1 species
UCUUAUAUAAUCAUCAACAACAAUAACCAAAAGGACAAGUGAAGAUAAAAUGAAAGGAACAACCGACCAUCAUUGUAAACAUUCUAUGCCAACAAUUAUUUUAAGGGAAGAAGGGGCAUGUUGAGGUUGAACUUGAAAACCAAACUGAUUACAGCACUUAUGAGCUUAGUGUGAGGUAUCUGUAACAGAAAUAGGAACCAGCAACCAGGAGUGGGGCAGCGAACUCGACGACUGCCGCAUAUUUAGGCGUCAGGUCAUCCUUGAUCACGAAUGCACUCAUCUCUUUCUUUUUGGGCUCCUCGGUUGAACCAAC